rnacentral:rRNA from 1 species
UACGUAGGGCGCAAGCGUUGUCCGGAAUUAUUGGGCGUAAAGAGCUCGUAGGCGGCUUGUCACGUCGGGUGUGAAAGCCCGGGGCUUAACCCCGGGUCUGCAUCCGAUACGGGCAGGCUAGAGUGUGGUAGGGGAGACUGGAAUUCCUGGUGUAGCGGUGAAAUGCGCAGAUAUCAGGAGGAACACCGAUGGCGAAGGCAGGUCUCUGGGCCACUACUGACGCUGAGAAGCGAAAGCGUGGGGAGCGAACAGG